AUCGGGCGAGAAUACCCGGCGAAUUUAAGCAUAUUACUAACCGGAGGAAAAGAAACCAACAGGGGACGUCCUCAGUAGCGGCGAGCGAAGCGGACGAUGCCCAAACCGAACCGCGGUUCCCGAGGGGGCCGCGGAGUGUGGAGAGGAUGAGCUCGCGAGGGGGCGGGACGGGUUCCAAUCCGUCUGGAAGGGCGGAGGCACGGAGGGCGAUUCCCCGUACGUGCUCGGUCCGUCCCCGACGAGCGAACGCAUCGGAGAGUCGGGCCGCUUGAGAGUGCAGCCCGAAUGGGGUGAUAGGUCUCAUCCAAGGCUAAGUACGUGGGAGACGCCGAUAGCGAACAAGUACGGCGACGGAAAGGUGAAAAGAACCUCGAAAGGGGGGGUCAAAAGCGCUCGAAAUCGUAGAGGGG
rnacentral:rRNA from 1 species